CAGUAAGGGCGACUGAACGGGGAGGAGCCCAGCGCGGAACCUCGCGCGCCUCACCGGCUGCGUCUGAGGAAUGUCGCGUUCCGGAGGGGCCUUCUCCGACCACACCGACCCCCCCCAAGUCCGCUUGAACGCGGCCACUGCCCAUGGAGGGUGCGAGGCCCGUACGGGGAUUAGGAGUCGGGCGGUCGGACGGCCCCGUCCGUAGAGUCGGGUUGCCUACUAACGCAGCCCAAAGCAGGUGGUAAACUCC
rnacentral:rRNA from 1 species